GACGAAGGAUGCAAGCGUUAUCCGGAUUCAUUGGGUUUAAAGGGUGCGUAGGUGGGUUGGUAAGUCAGUGGUGAAAUCUCCGAGCUUAACUUGGAAACUGCCAUUGAUACUAUCAGUCUUGAAUAUUGUGGAGGUCAGCGGAAUAUGUCAUGUAGCGGUGAAAUGCUUAGAUAUGACAUAGAACACCAAUUGCGAAGGCAGCUGGCUACUCAUAUAUUGACACUGAGGCACGAAAGCGUGGGGAUCAAACAGG
rnacentral:rRNA from 1 species